rnacentral:rRNA from 1 species
UACGUAGGGUGCGAGCGUUGUCCGGAAUUAUUGGGCGUAAAGGGCUCGUAGGCGGUUUGUCGCGUCGGGAGUGAAAACUCAGGGCUUAACCCUGAGCCUGCUUCCGAUACGGGCAGACUAGAGGUAUGCAGGGGAGAACGGAAUUCCUGGUGUAGCGGUGAAAUGCGCAGAUAUCAGGAGGAUCACCGGUGGCGAAGGCGGUUCUCUGGGCAUUACCUGACGCUGAGGAGCGAAAGUGUGGGGAGCGAACAGG